rnacentral:RNase_P_RNA from 2 species
ACAGCUCGAAAGCUGCGAGGCUCACCACGCACAGGAGGCGUCUCUGCACGCAUCUUCUCUCGUGAGCGGGUUAAGGUCUGAGUAUUCUAAUCCUCCUCGAUCGACUCUAGCCGGGUUUUGUCCUAACGGGCAGCGCGACGUACCAGAAAAGCAGUGGCGAGUCGUCUAUGCUCCACGAUCACAUUUAUGUGGGAGAGCGACGGCAAUUGCUCACUUUGAAAGGCGUCGUGGGGAUCGGGUGGUUUCACUCCCAUCAAAUGUUGGAUUCCUAGUCACUCAACCGCUGCUCCUGCCUAUCUCAGAGUUUGACUCUGAAAUAGGCGCCACCGAUGCAGUUCCUCAAUGCAGCUUCCUGCAGCUGGAGUGGUAUUGCCACCAUCCAAGGCGUGUCCCCACGCCUUGUCCUCCAGUCUAAGACUGCAUCAGUUGUACGGAUACACUCGUACGCCAUUUGGAGGGUGACAACGAGUCCAUCGUUUGAUCAGGUCGAGUGAUUCCACCCUUUAGUGCACUUCGUGGCUCGCAGUACACCUGCGAAACUCGAUUCAGACUACUCUCGGGCUGU